UUAAAGAAUCAGUGGACCAGAGGAGAUGAGGCCAUAAGAAGCUUCAUUGGCACUUGGUUUCAAAUGAGAAAAGAUGAAGUGGACACUUGCAGACAUCCAAGUGGUCACUUUGAUCACUACUAGCCAAAAACAGCUUCCAAAGUCAAGCUAAAUGACUAUAACAAAGCGCUGAGUGGGAGGCAACCCACUAUUAAGUAUUUCUUUAAGUUUUUAGUGUUUACAUUUAUUUAUUUUCGUUUUUAAUUUUCUUGAAGGUCGUAAAAAAAAACAAAAAAAUAGAAAAACCAGAAAAACCUAAAAGAGACCCAAGUAGCUGUUACUUGCCAUCAACGGAUGAGAUCCAGUUGACAUCGUUCGACAGCACAACACCAGUAACGAUCGAUAGACACUACCCUGUGUCGAUCAACAUCGACGUCUGCGAUCAGUUAUAUCGUUUUCCUUGUUACAUAUUGUCCUUAUGAUUUAUGUUUUCACCAAACUCCAACUAAAUGUACACUGGGGACAAUGUAAUUUAAGUUUAGGAGAGGUUUACUGAUAUUAAGUUUACCUUUGAGUUUUAUUAAACAUUUCAAAAAGUUUUUAUUGAGUCAAGAAAGGGACAAUGAACUUUUACAAUUUUCCUUACUUAUCUAACCACUCUUUAGCACAAUUCUAAGAUUUAUUGAGUGCAGAUUGUACUAUAGAUGCUAAAGUGGAUCAUCCUGCCAGUUAUUCACACUUGCUUAGAAUGUUUGAAAGAUCCAAGCUGACCUCCAACCUAAUUGAGCUCAACUUGCUUGUCUUGGAGCUUGGUAUGCAUUGGAUCGGAAUCCUCCUGCAAGUCUGGAAGUUAUUAGACUAAGUGUCCCUGGUUUUCCUUCCACCUCUCUUUGGCAUCCAUAUAUAUUUAAAAAAGAUUGAAAUGAUUUCUUGCGGUGUAGAGGGGUAGGAGUGUCUCUUGCGACCCCAUUAUUCUACUCUAAUAGAAAGAUCACACAUUGUUUGGAAGCGAGAGGUAGAUACAUUAUCGAUGACCCCACUAUUCGCCUAUAACUUUGCCCAGUAAAAAAAAAAUCGGAUUAAGAGAAGAGAGAAGAGAGAAGAGGAACCAUAAAAGGUUUACAUGUAGGUCCAGAUACUUGUUUGAGUUGAUUUCAUGUGUUCAGUGAUCGAUACUCCCAAGGUAAAGCUUACACCUUUAUUAUUUAUAUGAAUGAGAAUGAGGUCAGUAGAGGGGUUAGUCAGACAUGCUUUGUUAAGUUGUUGGAUGAAUGGAAUUGGUUGCUAAACUAAGAUACUGCAUGGAAAGUACCUAUAAGUUAGGAUUGAUUUGAUGUGGUUUGCAAUAUUGCUGAGGUGAUGAUAGUAAGUUCUAGACGACUGUAAGUCCAAGUCCCACAAGAAUUACCAGAUUACCUCUAACGAGGUUUAACCUAAUAUUUAUGUGCUAUGCCAUUGUUCUAGGCAACACACGCUUUCUUACUUUCAUACAGCAAAAUACUUAGAGUCUUAGGUUUGGAGAGAAGAUCCAAGAACUCCUUUAGAGAUUUGUGAUUGGAACUCCAGUUUUCUACUAUAUUCUAUUUAUGCAGUUUUCUUAUUUCUUUGUGAUGAAUUGCUUAGUUAUGUCUGAGUAGUUCUCCUUAUUAGAUUUAGGGUUCAGAUAUUCAUGAGGGAUUAACUUCAAAUAUUGAAUUGCUAAGUAUUAGGAUAUCCAUCAAUUAAACUGUUCUUAAUGCCUAUGUUCUAGAGUAGCUAACUAGGACCUUGCCUAUAGAUAUUAGGGUGCAAGCGGAAGCUUGGUUCUCUGUCUGAAUUAGUUUAGAUUGUGCUAGGUGUUGGGUUCAAAAACAGACACGACGAAGUUAACAUCCAAAUAUCCGUAAAAAUCAGCAUGACCGCUUUUACGAAAAGUGAUCUUCGUAAAGAAAUAUUUAAGAAGAACUUUGCGGUGAAAUCUUGCACUGAUCUCGGUUGAUUCAUCGAAACUAAACACCCAUAGUCGAAGAACACGUUCAUAAAACGUCAGAAAAGGAUCCAAACAAGGUCGCCACGUAGUGACCGGUCCACGAACGAGCCGGUCGCUAUGUAGCGACCAACCAAGCCACUCGGUCGGUCGCUACGUAGCGACCGACCUGCAAACGAGUCGGUCGCUAAGUAGUGACCGACCAAACCUUUCGUUCAGUAGCUACGUAGCGACCGAUCCAGUGCGGACCAGGUCGCUACAUAGCGACCGAACUGUCUCGGACAUCGAUCAACGGGUACGACCAAAAUCCGUGCAUUCUUGUCUGUUCCUCAAUGCUAGCUCCCAUGUACCGCAGCCAUAUCAUUUCUCACAUCAUUCUGAUCAAAGUUACCGUUGAAACUUUACGACAAAAACCGCGAGAACUUGUUUUUGUCGAAAACAAAAUCAUAACAAACGUUUCAUGUUGAAAGACGGCCCAACGAGGUCUAAAACGCGACUACAAGCCCACUUACGAUUCUUUAAGAAUGAGCUCGUAGAUACUAUGGCGGUUUAUGUUUUUAUUUUAUAAAAAAAAAUAUAAAGAUAAGUUUCCGCAGAAUAAAUGUUAAGUUUCCGCGGAUAAACAUGAAGAUCGGAAAAAAUGGAAUACACUACAAGAAAUAUAGGUAUUGGUAGCAGUUUGCGGUAGCACGAAUUCACGAACUGCUACUAAAAGUGUCAAAAUCCGGAUCCUAACUCUAUCGUAGCAUUAAAAACGGGCUACGGAUAUUUUCACUUAAUAAAGCCUAAAAAUCACCACUAUAGCGGGAAAGUCAUGUUGGAGGCAAAACACUUAGCGAAAAUUUUAGCUUUUGUGCCAUUUAGGUAGAGUUUUUAUUUCUUCUUUACAAAAAAAAAAUCACUCAUUCUAAUUCAUAGAAAAAAAACUAUUCUCUCAUCUUUCUCCUCCUCCAUAGUCGAACUUAUUUCUCUAAUUAAUUUGGGUUUCUUUCUUCAACUUUGACAAAAAAAAGUCGUUUCCUUUUCCUUCUCUGCUUCGACGUUGCUUGGAUUGACUGAAACCCCAUUGCUACGGUGUUGCAACUGGAGAUUUCUGCUUCGCCGCUGCUAGGAUUCUCUCCUCACUGCCAACUCCUCACUGAAAUUAGGGUUCAUAACCUUUGAUCAGUGUUGAUUCUUGUGGUUCAGUUUCUCCAAAUCGGUACCAAUCUUCAAGAUCUCAAAACCCAGAAUGAUUUUUUCUUUAUCUUCCCCUUUGUUGCUUCGUUCAAGUUUACACUUCCAUGCUUCUUCCCACCAAUCCAUCGUUACAGCAAGAAGAAGUAUCACCUUGUUCCACCGCCAACAAAUUCGUUGUAAUUUCACAAAGUUGCUGCCUUUUUCUGCAAAUUGACAGUGUUGUCUAAUAUUUUGAUAUCUGCAGAGUCUAUCAAAGUCAGGAGGAGGAGGUUUGCUUAAAAAUUUAGAGCAUGAGGAUGAUUCUUCUUCCUCCAGACAAGGUGUGCAAGUCUUUCCUUUUUCUCUCCCGUAGCCUUGGAUUGUCUCUAAUGCUUGGUAUUUCUCAGGGAGAGGUUUAUAUACGAGGAAAAAAGCGAGCUGGUUUGACAAGUGACGAGAAGGUUUCAGGGCUUUGCAUUGGCCUUGUAAGUGCUCUUUUCAUGAGUAGUGUAUGUUUGGUUUGGAGUGUGUGUAUCUGGGGUUAAGUCUCUGCAUUUUUAUUUCUUCUUUUACUUUGUGUCUUUGCGUGAAUCUACGAAUGAAAUCUUAGAGCAGCACUGCCUCUGUUUCGUUUCAUUUCUAUGGAUGAUAUUAUCUUUUCUAUUCAAGAACUGGAUUAAUUAACCCGCUUGCUUACAGGUGCUGCUACCAAGUAGUGGGCAUUGGAACUUGGAAGAUGGUACUAACUCUGUCGCUAUGGCUAAAGAGGUGAAUGAGAGUCAACUUUGAGUUUUUGAAGAAACUUGGAGUUGAUUGGUGGUGUUUCUACACGUGAGCUGUUUGCUUUGAACAUUGGGUUUGCAACAGUGAGAAGAACCAGAAGGCUAAAGACUCUAGCUGAAUAUGUCAUGCAGUUGGCUCUUAUAUGUAAUAUCUUUUAUAAGCAUUAGGAAUCUUAAACAUUCACAACUGAUUCACGGAUGGGAGUAAUGUAUUACACGUUGGGGAGGUUUAUGUAUAUUUUGGUGCACUCUGCGGCACUUGAGAUGGUUUAGUUUAUUAAUUAUCCAAGAACAUACAAGAUAUAUAAAUGUAUAUCUAAAAUACUAUUAAUCAUACUCUAAACCCUUAAUUUUUAAUAUUUCAUCAUAAAAUCCAAAUAUACCAACAAAUAAUAUGAUAUAAUUAAAAUCUAACACUAAUAAUAAACUAGAAAUUUUUUUUUUGCUUCAAGUUCUAAACCCUAAACAUACCAUAAAUUCCAACAUCCAACACUUACAAUAAACUUCAAAAUGAACAUUUGUAGAAAUUUAUAACUAAAACAAAAGCAUAUUACUUUAAAAAUAUAUAAAUUUUCAACAUGUAAUUUAAAAAAAAAAAAAAACCUAAACCUAAACCCUAAUGUUUGAUGUCGGUGUAAUACUUGGAAAGAUUCUAUGUAAGAUGUAUCUAUUAUGAAUUUAAUGCAAUAUAUGUUUUAGUUAUAAAUCAAUUUGCAAUUUGCAAUUUAUAAUUUAUAAAAUAUAAUCUUAAAUUUAAAUUCUAAAUCUCAAACACUAAAUCUUUAAUCUACCCCCUAUAUCAAAUACCCCAAACCUCAAACCUAUGAUAUAAAUUUAAAAACCAAACUCCAAUUAUAUUCAAAAACUCAAACCAUAUACUUGAUCCUAAAUCUUAACCAUGUACCUAAUAGAACUUAUAUCCAAUAUAUAAAAACAUUUAAUAGUUAAAAUCCUAUUUUUUAAAAGAUUAAUUUCAUAUUUUAAAUAUAUACUUUAAACAAUCAUCCCCCAAACUCUAAACCCUGAAUGAUAAAUCUAAUCUCCAAAUUUAUUUAUUUUCAUUUUAACUCAAAAUCUUAAAUGUAAACUUUAAAUCUAUUUCGAAACUUUAAUUUCUGAUUUUCAACUUAAACCCUAAACUCUAUUUCAUAUACCUCAAUAUCAAUAACAAAGUUUAAAAUUUAAAAUUUAAAACUAUAAAUUUAAUUCUAAAGAUUAAUUUUUAACAUUUAAAUUGUGAAAUCUAAAUCUUAUUUUUUUCUCAAAAUUUUAUCAUAAAUAUUCUAUAUAUUAAACACACAAAAUAGAAAAGGAAAAAAUGGUGUUCCAAGAAAAAAAGAAUAAAAAAACAACAACAAAACAAUCUGAUUGGUCAACACAUAUCGGCCAGUCACGUUUAAGUGCGAGGAUCAAGCCUUAUAAAAUAACAGCCGUCGAUAGAAGUGAAUCCAAUGGA